AAGAAAAUGUGGUUCAGAAGCUGUUUGUCAUUCGCCACAUUGGCUUGACGCACAUGGCAGAAAAAGAAAGUAAAGACGUUUGGUAUCAUUUCACUGUGACUUUAGAAAGUACUAGAAAGCAAAAAAAGCAGCCACGCGUAAUGGAUAAAACUUAAAAUAUGACUCAGUGGUGACACCGAGGCGACUUUCCCUCUUCACCGUGGCUUGCUCGUCCUCACCGCCACACAUAACUCAAUGUCCGUGAUAAUACUAGUUUAACAGUGAUAAGGAAUUAUCGGACCAGUACCGGUUCCUGUCAUGUGGUACUGGGUCGCACAGAUGAUCAGUUCAUUUGUGACUGUAAACACUCCUAGCACGCGAUGCACAGCUGCUGCUCGGGAGUAGUCGAAGGGAGGCUGCUGUUGAAGGUCUGCUUCCCCGCGGUAGGGACGGCGGUACACCAUCAGCAGACCCUGUGGGACCUCCAGAGGAUUCAGGUUUAUUGUUAUUAUACGUGACAGCGAUGCUGUCGUAGCAUUAGCUAUGAGGCUAGCGCCACAUUAUUAUGGGCACCAUCGAAACGCAUUUUUAACAUUCUUUUCACAAAAACUUUCCAUGUCCUGUUAUUGGUGUGUUUAUAUUUACAUAUAUGAUAUGAAAUAACAAUUUUAUUUCUACUAAUUUUUUUGUGCCUCAAAAGUAGGUCAAACUUGUAUAGGCUGGAACAUUAUAAAUCACAGGACUUACUGAAAUACAACACUGAAAGGCCAUUUUUCACCUGUCAGAAAAUGAUGAGCGAAUAUCUUUAUCUAUAUUUUUGUGUUUAUCUGAAUAUCUUUAAGAACAUUAUCUCAAAAUACCUGUUUUUCCUGCUAAAAAGUGAAUAAUGCAGUGAUAACUGCAUUUAAAUUGUACUUCCAUCUGGUGCAAAGAGACAGUUAUAAAAUAUAUUCUGCAGGGUCAUGACUAUGCAAAAUAAGUACCUUAGGUAUCAGAAAAUAACUUAUGUGUCAGGGUGCUACUAAAAAAUCUGGUACACAAAUCCUAACCUAUUCUUUUUUUUCUUUUGCAGGUGCCUAAAACAAUCUGAUCCUGUUAAAAGAGGUGCAUCAUUUACAUUUUCAACACUGGUAUUCUUAAAACCCCGGUGUGCGAAUAACCAUGUAGGAGCUCAAUCAGCAAGAAGAGGUCCAUUUUUCUGAUGAGCCUUCCCCAUUUUCUGGAGGAUGAACCUUCACACUUUGUCCAGAUUGUCGAGGCCACAGACGAUGAGAACAAGUACACAAAGGGGGUGAAAGUGGGCGUCGCUAUCGUCAAAGAGGGAGAUGACAUCAUCAAUGCUGCGGUGGUCCUUGAGGAGGCAGUUGUCCUAUGCGACUUGGAUGAGAUUCCCAACGCUAUUGCCAUGCUUAUGGGACUUCUUUAUGCACUAAAUAUCGAUUACCCAAAAGAACUGAAAUACACCUUUCAGGUCAUCCAGAGGGUCCUUGUGAAUAUUGGUGCCGGACAGUUUUCCUCAGUUGUGCAUGGCCUAUGCAAUCGACUUUUGAGGAAAAAGCUGUAAGAAGGUUCAUAUGCAGAGUCAAGUGAUCUCCAGAUUUGUUCAUAGCAUAGUGUGCAGAAUAUUGUGUAGGUCACACUGUGUCCAGAUUUGAAGAUUUGUUCAAGGAUAAAUUUGUGUAGGUCGCACUGUGUCCAGAUUUGUUCAAGCGUAGUAUGCAGAAUAUUGUGUAGGUCACACUGUGUCCAGACUGUAGAUUUGUUCAACGAUAAUAUUGUGUAGGUCACUCCGUGUCCAGAUUUGUUGAAGGAGAAUUAUUGUGCACGUCACACUGUACAGAUUUGUUGAAGGAUAAUGUGCAGUGUUGAGUAAGGAACACUGUACCCAGAUUUGUUCAAGAACUAUUUGACAUGUAAACUUUUGUAUAAGUCAUACUGUGCCCAGGUUGUUAAAAGAAAAUUGUGCAGAGUGCUGAAAAAGUAAUAUUG